CUCACUUGUGGAAAGAAACAGGUUUAUCUUUAUCAUAUCGGUUCUUGCAGCCGUAGGCGGAGCAGGACUGCACCAUUCUUGUGGAUCUCAAGUCACUUCACUUCUGCUGCCCUAGAAGGCAGCGGAAGAACCACAACCAUCACCCGUCUCCCAUCUCUAAGAUGGCGGAGGCAGCUUCAACCUCACCUCUCGCGAGAAGUUCUCCAACGUCUCUGAUUAGCUCAGAGAUCAGAGGUAGACCCACAGGGGCGAGCAUUUUAGCAAGAAGACAAGACAGUCAUGUGCUGCGAGGCCGAAGCGAAAUUGCGAGUGAUUUUCUUAAGUGAAACCACCGGUGGAUAGUCUGCUUCCCUGCCCCUCUCGCGUAGAUCCCAGCCUGGAGGGUGGACUGUUGAAUAAUUCGGUGGACUCUGUACUGCACUGUUCUGCUUCCUUAAAUGUUGACGUUUCCCUCUGGAUUCUAACUUUUGCCUUUCUUACAGCACCUGGUCCCUUGAACUCAAGUGCCAUGAUUUCUUAAGUGUUUUACUUCCACGAAAAUAUGUUCUCUCUUUUUGAGACAGA